ACAACCGCGAUCUAUAAAAUUACUCACAAGCACCAAAUUACUCACCAAAAAUACAAUGCCACAAGUCAAAAAGUGCAACCACCCUAACUGCAGAACUUGCAUCUUCCUCUUAGAGGGCUCAACAUACAAAUUUAAGUCAGGUCAAAUUUUUAAUAUAAAAUAUGACUUCA